rnacentral:rRNA from 1 species
CUACGUGCCAGCAGCCGCGGUAAUACGGAAGGUCCAGGCGUUAUCCGGAUUUAUUGGGUUUAAAGGGAGCGUAGGCGGAUUGUUAAGUCAGCGGUUAAAGGGUGUGGCUCAACCAUGCAUUGCCGUUGAAACUGGCGAUCUUGAGUGCAGACAGGGAUGCCGGAAUUCGUGGUGUAGCGGUGAAAUGCUUAGAUAUCACGAAGAACUCCGAUCGCGAAGGCAGGUGUCCGGGCUGCAACUGACGCUGAGGCUCGAAAGUGUGGGUAUCAAACAGGAUUAGAUACCCUGGUAGUCCACACAGUAAACGAUGUAUACUCGCGGUUUGCGAUAGAUUGUAAGCCGCCAAGCGAAAGCAUUAAGUAUACCACCUGGGGAGUACGCCGGCAACGGUGAAACUCAAAGGAAUUGACGGGGGCCCGCACAAGCGGAGGAACAUGUGGUUUAAUUCGAUGAUACGCGAGGAACCUUACCCGGGCUUGAACUAACGGUGACGAAUC